rnacentral:tRNA from 1 species
UCCCUGGUGGCUUAGAGGUUAAAAGCGCCUGCAUGCAAUACAGGAGACCUUGGUUCAAUCCCCAGGUCAGGAA